CCUCGUCUUCCAAGUGAGGCGACAGGUCAAGCACCCUGCCCAGGCCCCCAGCCCAGGCCCAGGCCUGCCGGCUGCCCCCUUGGCUCUUGAUCCCACCCGAGGUUCGCAGGCUCGGGGCCUCGCUGCUUACCGGCCACAGGCGGAGGGAGGCAGACUAGCACAGCUCCAUUCCGGUGGGGGGGCCCAGGAGGGGUAGGUUGCCUGAGCAGGUGUAUCCUGGGUGGGAGGGGAAGGAUGCAGAUAUAGGGGCAGUGGGGAGACACCGAGGGUCUCCACGCAGGGCAGGGGCACCACGACUGCAGUGUGGGGAGCAGGAACCCCAUGGAAGGACGUGAGGAUACGAGGGGCUGGAUUUGGGGGGACAGGUGGACCGGGCUUGGGGUGCGGCGCAAUGCAGGAGUGACAGACAUGAGGUGGGGCACAGGGAUGGCCAGCUUUCAGCUCUCAUUGCCUUUGAAGGAGUUGCCCUCUCUGAAUGGGUGCCUAGUGCCUUUGCCUCCCCAGGGCGCUCGUUCCAGGGUCUGGCCCACCCUGGGGGCCCUGCUGUCUGCUGGGUCCGGGUCAGGUGUCUGUGUGGGGACCCAGGCCUGUGUCCCAGGCAUCUUAUCUGAGCCUCCCACAGGCCUCCCAGUUGGAGCAGCAAGGGUCUGGGUUUGGGCUUCUACAGCCAGAGAGCCAAGACCCCCCCCCCCAUUCAUUCCUUUCCUGGGUCCCAGGAGCAAGCCCAAAUUUCCUCCCUUCUUCUCCGUAUUUGGCUCUGGCCCCAACAUUGACCCGGCCCUGGGGCCAGAUAGUCUGACUCAAACCAGUACUCUUGCUACUAGCCGUGGCACCUGGGCCCUCUGUGAGGUCCUCGUGUGGAUGGGGUCACCUGUGUCCCGGUGCCCACAAAUCCAAGCUGGGUUUGGACAGAGUUAUUGGUGUAGGGCAGCUCUUAGGUGGCUGUCACAGACAGAGAAAGACGCAGAGGAUCCAGCAGAUGCCAGAGCCACCCUGGGAGAAUUCUAAUGAGUUCCAGCAGCGCGAGCCAAGGACAGACAGCCCGAUUUUCAGGUCCGGUCGACAGUUGACUUGACCCUCACCGGGACCGGGUCAGGCGGUACUUUCUCUUAUUCAGAUAGGACGCAGAGCUCAGGGAUGUUGAGGAAAUCACGCGUUCAGCUGGAGGGGACAGUAGCAGCCUGUGGAGCCCACUGGGUCCCGGUCCCUGCCCACCGCUUCACACUGAGCUGGCAGGGGCACGAAGACUGAAGGAGACAUGUGUCCAGUGGCUGGGACGAGCUACUGUGACUGUAUCUGCAAGUCACGGAGGCUUGGCCUUCCUACCUCUUCACCAUCCCUCUGUCCCAAGGGAUCUGACCGGGCUUGCCGGGCCUGCCCUUCCCUGGGGCUCUGCUCUGGACUCCGGAGGUGCUGGGACAGGUGCCACCCCUUCCCGGGUCCCUCCCUCCUCUAGCCCAGGCUCCCCUUUGACUCUUGCCUCCAGGUCUUGGCUUAUUCCAUCCCUACCCCAGAAUGUCCUCUUGUAUUUGCCCUUGUCACGCGGCACUCCCCAAGCACCUCCCCUUUCUGCCCCUGGGAGGGGUGAGAAGUCCCUUGUGCUCCCUCAGCCUGUGUUCCCCUCUGCUCAUCAGUGUGUGGCCCUUGUUGGUUUCCAGCCCCCACAUUUGCUCAAGGGCAGGGCCGGGUCCAGUCUCUCCGCAGCUCUGGCUUUGCCUGGCCCCGAGGAGGCGGCUGUUAUAUCCGUGGAAAUGUAUUGAAUAUGGACCCCCUCCUGGUCUGCCCCACGUUGUACCCAUUCUCUGGAAGAGGAGAACAGCUGCGAGUUGCGUGUGGUAUCCCGGGGCUCACAGGGAGUGCAGGCAGUGCAGGGGCGGAGCUGGGGGGCAGGUGCAACUUCCCCUGUUCUUGCUUCUUUGAUAUCCAAGAGGUGGGAAGAAGUGAUAGCCUGGGAGGGAUCAGAGUAGACUUCGGGGCAAGGCUGGGCCUGGCCAGGACCCUGGACAGCUCAGCAGAGCCCAGGAGGCCCUGGCGUGCUGGGAUGGUAACUGAGAUGUGUGGGGGCCUUUACAGAGGUUGGAAGGGGCCUGCCUGACACCUGAGGGGGGACAGAACGGUCGGAGGGGAGAGCAGGUGUCCUGAAGUCUGAAGAUUGGCCUUGCAGUCCCAAGUGUAACAGAUACUUGCUGGACAGGUCUCGAAACCUCUUGGGCCUCAGUUUCUUCAUCUGUAAAAUGGGCCUCAUAGUCUUCCUUCACAGGGCAGGUUGCCCCCAGCUGAGGUCCCAGCCAGGCUGUUGUGAGAAAUAAACCAGUUACCAGGCAACUGGAAAAGUUCCCUAAAAAUGAAAAGGGGCUCACAGGCAGCGUGAGGGCUCACAGCCCAGGCCACCCACAGGGGGAAGCUUAGGAGGGGUGACCGGAGGGUUGGCGGGGGUGCCUGGCGGUGACACCCAGAGCUUCCCCCACCCUUCCUGCUCCAAGAGAGCGGUGAGCUGCAGCCUGCAGAGGGUGGCUGGCCCUGCCUGGGGGUGGCCUCUGUCCAGCUCCUGGGGACUCCAAACCUAGAGCAGCAUCACCUGGGGCAGAGGCCAUCAUUCCUGAGGCAUACCUUGGGCCAGUUUUCUAGUGACAAAUGCCUCCCCCUCCCAGCUGGCCUCCCUGGAGCCGUCCCCUGUGGCAUCAUCAGCUAGCUAGCGUCCUGAAGUUCGCUUUUACAAGGCUCCUCCCGUACCCGGCUGUCUGGGUGAUGGCCCGAGUCAUAUGGGGGAGUGUCCUGGAAUGAAUGGGAUGGGGGGACUCAUUUGGACAGCAGUCUGGCUGGACCCUCAGUCAAGGGCAAGAAGAGGGGGCUCUUGGGGUCUUUCCGCAUCUCCUUGCUUCAUCUUUGGUCAAGGGUGGGAGUGAGAGACUACAUCGUUUCCCCCCUCAAGUUGAGAAAGUUGAGGCUCAGGGAGACACGAGAAUGUGCCAAGGUCUCAAGCCGGCUGGCAGAACUGGGUUAGAAUCCAUAUCCCUAGACUUGGGAUCUGGAACCCUGACAGCAUUAGCAAACACCACUAGUGAGCUCCAGUUGUAUACCAGGCUCUCCACGGGCACUGCCCCUCCCUCCCCGGGGUUGAGACUAUUGGGGCAGCUUCACAACAGGAAAGGUCAGGAGGCUGGGUUUCCGAGUCACAGGCUGUGAGUGGCAGAGGCAGGAUUUGAACCAACGGUCAGGGCCUGGCUCAGGAGUUGGGGCAGUCACUGGAGUCUGACCAGAGGUGGGCAGGGCCUCGGGUCCCUGACGGGGCAUGGCUUUUCCACCCUGGGCCUGGAGGAAGGUCCUGGAUGAGGCCGUGUCAGACAGCUGCUUUGAAAUCGACCUCCCUCUGGGCUGUGUCAGGAUUCGGACAGACCUGGGCUGGCAGGUGGAGACCUUGGAGGUCAUAAUGGGGCAUAGGUGGGGGUGCAGAGCCAGGCUUCGUCCUCCCAACCCCAGAGAGCUUCUCCCCACCCCUCCAGCACAUACUGAUGUCUCCUCUCUGAGCUGCCCCGGCCUCCCCUGCCAGGGUGACUGCUGGGGGCCUGACACAGCUCUGGCUGUUGUGGGAGCCCAGUGACCAUUCGUCAAAAGAUUCACCGUAGCUUGCACGUUGGCUGUGUGCCAGGCACCACGGAGGACCUAAGCAGGUCCCGAAAACCUAAGCUCCUUUGCCACUGGGGCAUGAGAGGUCGUCUGUGGCAUUGGCCUUGCCCAUGCUUCCAGCCCCUCCCAGCCCCUGCCCUACAUGCACCCUUCAUGGUGCCCACACCCCUCCCUGAACGCCCCCCACUCUCCUUUCUUCACCAUAUUCCGACGGUCAUAGACAAGUUGGAGACCACAAAGCGUCCCAUCAAUAAAAGCAAAAAAAAAAAAAAAAAAAUCACCUAUAAUCUUAUCCCCAGGGUCAUCUUGCUGUGCUGUGCUCCCUAUGUUCUCCCCCCACUGCCUUUCUUUUUUCACGACACAGACUCAGGUGCCUACUUUGUGUAGCCUACUUUGCUGGCUCGUGGGAUGUGUGCAGAGCACGGACAUCAUUUUCCUGCCAUGUCACGUGCUGGCAAGUGGUUGCUUGACAUUCUCUGGACAUACCAUAAUUUUUUAAACCGAUCCCCUCUUGGUGGGCUUUUAGCUUGCUUCCGAUGUGGGACUAUUACCAACAACUGCAGCCGCUGUCUCGGGAUGCCUUUCCAGAAGGUGAAUUCUUGGCCAGCGGAUACCAUAGCACGCUCUUUCGAGACUCUUGUGCCUUUGUACAGGCUGGUCCCUCCGCUGGGCGGUCUCUCUGUCAUUUAUCGCCAUCCCGAAAUCUUACUCCUCUGAUGUGCGCCCAUAGCCUUCUUCCCAAGUGUCCCCGGGCUGCCGAAUCUGCAGCCCUUUUCCCUGUCCCCGGCUGUCCUUUUUGUCCCUGGUGUCAUGAGCGACUGUCGACCUCCUGCCUCUCUGAGGCCAGACAGCCUGGCAUCGUCUCCUUCUGUCCCCGACACAUAGGAGGCUCGUGGGAAAGGCCUCCCAGAUGAACAAGCCAUCCCCUGGCUGGCUUAGCAGUGUGGGAUUGUGUGGUGUUUCUAUUAGUC
rnacentral:lncRNA from 1 species